rnacentral:lncRNA from 1 species
CAAUAAAUAAAUUAAUAAAUAAAUAAAUAAGGCAAAAAAAAGGUCAUGGAUUUAACAUUGUGAUCCAAAGCUUGAUUUCAAGAUUGAAACCUCAACAUUCAUCCAUAUAGUAAAUUUCCUUGCAUAUGCUUCAAGUAAUCUAAACAUGCUCAAAUCCUCAUCAAUUGCUAUUAAAAAAUCUGCAUUACAAAGUUUAAAGGUUACCUGGGUAGCAAAAAAUAAAUAUAGCAGUGAAAAAUGAGAGCUCAGCAACAGAAAGCGACAGAGAACAAUAACAAAAUCAGCAGAAAUCCAGCAGCAAACCGUGUUUAAAUAGCCCGAAAACUUUAGAGAAGAAACCCAAAACUAACUCUAAAGAAGACUUCUACUUUUCUAAAGUUUGCACUCUAAAAUUCACUCACAAAGCGCAAAAAUUUUCAGCUUACUAAAGUAUUCAGCUGCUGAUUUUUUAUUCAACCAUAUGUGUGUGUUCAAGCAACUCUCAAGAUCUCCCUCAGUGUAAGAUAGAGUGUGUCCCCUUUAUAGGAGAAGAGCAGCCCUUUAAAUAGGCAAAUAAAUAAGAUUUUUUGGACAGAUUUUGGUUCACCAAAAAGUCUGUCCAAAAGACUGACUUUGUGUGCUAAACACUGUUCAAAAGCUGUCAAAAAGUAUUGUAUUUGUCACCACACAAUGACUUUUGAGUUUUGUACUCCAAAGUCUUUGCACAGUAAAAACAACCAAACUUGUACUAUUUCUUCUUUAAUUUCAGCUUUUAUCAACACAAAAUUCAAAUACUCACAUCCAAUAAAAACAAAUUCACUAAGCACUUGAAACUUUUAUCAUAAACUAUCAUGAGCGAAUAGCUAUUUCAAAACUAAUAAAUAACUAAUUAUCAGUGAUUAAUAACUAAGCUAACAUAGAUUAAACAUAACUAAUAAUAAAAAUAAUAAUAAUAAUAAAUUAAUAAAUUAAUAAAUAAAAUCAUAAAUUAUGCUAGACAUAAACUAAAUACAAUACAAUUAGAAAAAAUAGACAAAGGAAAUGAGAAUAAGGGUAUACCAAACGAGGGCAUUCAGGGUGGUCGCCGGAAUUUGGCCGGAUUUUUAGUUGCCUGAUUUUCAGGAUGGAAUUGACAUCAAUAGAUAGGUCUUGAUAAGCUCUAUCCGUUGAUGCAGGUAUUGUAGAGGUGGUAGUGGCCGGAACUUCAAGAUUUUGGGCCAAAAAGUAGAGGCUAAGGUUUCUUUGAUCUAAAAUUCAAAAAGUAUGAGGGGCUUUUGAAGGAUUUGGUUUGGAGAUAUGAAAAGAGGAGGUUGUGGAGAUUACAUGGUGUGAAUUUGGCGGUGUUUGGAGGUUGGCCGGCACCGGUGGGCGAUUUUCGGUGGGUGGCAGCGGUGGGGUGGGGGAGGGGGGGCGGAUAUGGGAGAGAGAAGAGAGAGAGAGA